GACGAACGCUGGCGGCGUGCCUAACACAUGCAAGUCGAACGAUGCCUUCGGGUCUUUUCGCGCACGGGUUCGUAACGCGUGGGAACCUGCCCGUGUGUUCGGACUAACUCCCCGCGAGGGGUGCUAAUACCGGAUAAUAUCUUAUGCCCAAUGAUGUAUCGGCUAGGGAGGGGCGCACGUGGGAUUAGCUAGUUGGUAAGGUAAAAGCCUACCGAGGCGAAGUUCCAUAGCUGGUCUGGGAGCAUGAUCAGCAACACUGGGAGUGAGACACGGCCCAGACUCCUAGGGAAGGCGGCAGUGCGGAAUAUUGGACGACGGGCGAAAGACUGAUGCAGCAAGGCCGCGUGAGUGAUGAAGGCGUUAGGGUUGUAAAGCUCUUUUAACCGGGAUGAUAAUGACAGUACCGGAAGAAUAAGCGCCGGCUAACUCCGUG
rnacentral:rRNA from 1 species